UACGCAGGGGGCUAGCGUUGCUCGGAAUUACUGGGCGUAAAGGGCGCGUAGGCGGACAUUUAAGUUGGGGGUGAAAGCCCGGGGCUCAACCUCGGAAUUGCCUUCAAUACUGGAUGUCUUGAGUUCGGGAGAGGUGAGUGGAAUGCCGAGUGUAGAGGUGAAAUUCGUAGAUAUUCGGCGGAACACCAGUGGCGAAGGCGACUCACUGGCCCGAUACUGACGCUGAGGCGCGAAAGCUAGGGGAGCAAACGGG
rnacentral:rRNA from 1 species